GACGAACCGUCCAAACGUUAUUCGGAAUCACUGGGCUUACAGAGUUCGUAGGCGGUCCAGAAAGUUGGGUGUGAAAUCCCUCGGCUCAACCGAGGAACUGCGCCCAAAACUACCGUGCUCGAGGAAGAUAGAGGUGAGCGGAACUUAGGGUGGAGCGGUGAAAUGCGUUGAUAUCCUAAGGAACACCGGUGGCGAAAGCGGCUCACUGGAUCUUUUCUGACGCUGAGGCACGAAAGCUAGGGUAGCGAACGGG
rnacentral:rRNA from 1 species